ACGAUCCGCUGGAGGAAUUCGGCGGGUCGAGCAGCAUCUGUGUGAGGAAUGGGUCGAAACUCCGCACCAGGACCCCAAAACGUCCAACAAUUCCUUUCCUCCCACAGGUGCUACCCGACCAGCUGAGUUCCUCCCGCAGAUUGUUUGCUACUUGUGAAGAAAGGCUGAUAGUUGCUCCUGAUUCCAGCAGUCUCUUGUGUCUCUGGCCUUCAGAAUCGACCCAAAGGUCAACAAACAAAAUAACCCAAAUGCUGCUUGACCCACUGAGUGAUUCCAGCAUCUUUUUUCACCCCUUGUUUCAGAUUCUCUGCUACAUUACAGAGAGUUGGUGGUCUGGUUCCAGCUGUUCAAGUGGUCAAAGUUGCCCCAAUUUUCAAAUUUGCCCACUUACUGUUUUGGCAAUUUUCUUCUGUCAAACCAUUAACAAAAAUUGAUGUUUUGCCACAUUGAUUCUACAAUUAAGUUGCAUGUCCAUCUUUCAGCAUUAAUAUAAUUCUGUUAGUAUAACUUAAAUUUUUGAUUUAAUUACUGAUCUGCUUGUAAGCAUGAAUUUUCAUUUUGUAACUGCCUGCCACAUUCUCGUUCUCUUAAUUCUACCUGUUAUUCCAUUAUGGCCACUGAAGCAUUUUUUUGCAAUGCUUCAGACUGCAGUGCAGUCUUUGCUCAAUUCUGCUGUUUUGUGCUGCUUGUAUUUAUUAUCACCAUGAAUACUGUUACUCUGCAAGCUUCAUGGAAACAAGGAAAUUCACUGCACCCUUGAGUCGAUGAUAAUGCACUAAUCUGACAUCUAAAGUGGCACAUCAAAAUGCUUCUAUAUCUGGAAAGGCUCUUCUAGUGGCCUGUAGGCAAGAAAUGUAUGACUUCCAGUCAAAUCUUUCAAGCUUGUCAAUAUUCACCAGUAUGACGUGCCAACAACUCAGUGCUGGAAACAUUCAGCAGAUAAAAUGUGUGGAAAGAGAAACAGUUGAUGUUUCGAGUCAAAACCUUUCAUCAGAUAUCCCUAAUUCAGAUUGUCUCAAAACCAUAAUACUUAAAUCCAUUUCUGGAUAUUGAGUCUUUGACCUGAAAUAUUAACUUUUUUCUUUUCACAUAGUUACUUUUGCUUAUGGGAGCUUCAUAAAUUUAAUGUAGUGUGCAUUGCCUCUAAAAGAUCAUUUUAAACCUGGUAUUUGAAUCAACUUUUAUCCAAAGCUGUUUAGAGUGGAUUGUGCUUUGGACACUUGGAAUUCUGAAUUUGUAUUGGUGCUGGUUGUGGGGUGUUAUGGUUUUCUUCCAUUUGGCCCAAUAACCUAGGGAGAUUUGCUUACUGUUAAUCUGUUUGAAUGCACUAAUAUUCUAUAGUGGAAUAUAGAAAUAUUAGGAUUUUGUAUGACUGUAUUUGCCUAUUCUCUUAAUAAUAAUUGAAAACCAUUUGUGUGGUGACUGAACAAAUGGUAAGUCCAUUUAUUGAAGAUACUGCAGAUAUUUAUAUAGUGGGUGUUUGGGAUAAAUUCCGGGUUGUUCCACAGACACUAAGGCUGUGUACAACAAUUAGUGUUGUGGAGCCCAUUUUUUAAUCAAUUAACUAUGAUGGGGUUUCGCAUUCUUGUGGAAAUUAAAUUAAUUGUGCUAAAUCGAAUCUUCCUCCCUGAAAUCUGCAAAAAGUAGAAUCGUUGGAUUGAGAUGCUUGAACCAAGAUCAAUUGCAGCAGUUUCAGAAUGUGCAGUAUACAGAUGUACAAGACUGCCAUUGUCCAAAAGUGAAGACCUGCAGAAUGAUAGUGCGAAUACAUGACAAGAUCACACCACCUGGAAACUGGGAUUCUGAGAGCAGCCUAACUACUGAGCUGCGUUGAAUUCAUCUCCACUUCAGUUCAGAUGUUCUGCAGAAGAUGCAUUUCUGGCCACUUGGUAAUCAGGUUGGAUCACUUCCUUUCUGUUUGAGGUGUUUGAAUAAUAUGCAUCAACAGAAAUGAUCACUGGAUUGUGCUUGAAGAGGUUGAAGGAGUCACACAAGUAGAAGAUUUGAUGGUGAAUGAUGUUUGGGGGGAAAUUUCCCUUUUCUAGAAAAACUAGGGAGACUUGGAAAAACAGAAGACUGAACAAUGAACUUUGGAGCCACUGAUUCACAGCAGUUCAACCUAUACCAUUAUUGGACUCUAGUAGGUCUGAAAAUUUGAUGUGGUGGCUUUGAAUUGCUACAUCUUUCAAGGAAAGCAUUGAUCAAGAAAUUGGAAAUCCACUGAGUUUACAAAUUGCUCAACUUUAUGUAAAAGUAUAUAGGUCAUAAUUUUGUGUCAGGUUUGUGUGAAGUCAAAAUGAAAAUAAAGGAAUUAUUUAAGUCUGAACUGCUUGCUGCUUUAUGGUUUGGAAUGCAUUGGUAAAUGAAAGCUAAUAAAAUUCAAAUGUGCUUUUUUUUAUAUAUAAAGGUCACUUGUAAGUCCAUUGUGCUAAAAUUGUUCAUUGAAUGGCAACCUUUUUUUAAAAAAAACAAAACCUAGUCUAUUCACCCCACCCUGACUAUUGAUUUGAAUUGGAAGCCAGGUUUUCAUGAGACCCAUAUGUCCUUGGAACACCUUAGGGUUGUGGGUGAGGAUGUGUAAACAGUUAUUUAUUCAGGAUGGUCAAUUACUGGUUACUUUCCAGAUUGUAGAGGGAAAGUAUAAAUGGAGUAUGUACUGGACUGAAUUUUGAAUUUAUUUUUGAGCAUGCAGUUCAUUUUCCCACCAGUGCACUGCAAUUAAAGGCCUACUACACUUUAAAUGAGA